GACAGAGGGUGCAAAUGUUGUUCGGAUUUACUGGGCGUAAAGCGCGUGUAGGCGGCUUCGCAAGUUGGAUGUGAAAGCCCACGGCUCAACCGUGGAAGCGCAUCCAAAACUGCGUCGCUGGAGUCCCGGAGAGGAAGGUGGAAUGCUUGGUGUAGAGGUGAAAUUCGUAGAUAUCAAGCAGAACACCUGCGGCGAAGGCGGCCUUCUGGACGGUGACUGACGCUGAGACGCGAAAGCGUGGGGAGCAAACAGG
rnacentral:rRNA from 1 species